UCAAACCCAAAUCGCUUCACGCAUCAAACCGCUCAUCUUCACGCCCUCAGAUCUUGGAUUUCUCUCUUCAGACCUCAAAUCCCAAACCGCUACUCUUCACACACAACUCAGAUCGAUUUCUAUUUACCAAUCUCACGGUAUACUUGACUUCUCUCUGCUUUGGAUUUCGACUUAGCUUAUUAUUUAUUUUACGUUGUUUAUGAUCCAAAUAUGAGAAUCUGUAGUGUAGUUUUUCUGGUUUUGAUUAUUUUUUUUUUGUUCUCAUUUUGAAUGGUGUGAUGUUUCCCUUUUGAAUGAUAUGUACGAAUUUUUAGCUACUGUGAAUAGAUGAGAUUGAGCAAGGAAAUAAUUUAUGGUUCAUUUCAUGAUUUUCCUACUUUUUUGUGUUAAUUUCAUGAUUUUGAAAUUUGGGUCGCUGUUAUUUUUGGUCAAUAUGUUUAUUUAGAAUCAACUUUUAUGCUAAGACUUGUUGUACUUAAGUUUUUUUACUGAUUAAACUAAUUAGUAUGAAGAUGAAGAACUAAUUAAACUAAACUUGUUUACAUGAAGUUGUGGGUCUAUUAACAGUUCAGUUUUUUAUUGGCUGAUAUACAAUAUGUGCAAGACUUUUGUAGUCACAGUUUUAAUUAUUAAUUUUUUCCAUUGAUGGAUAAUGUGGUUGUUUAUGUUUUUUGUUUGUUUUGGAUCAUUUUGACAAAUUCUUUAAUUUGAAGUUCAUGAAUGCUCUAUUAUGUAUGAGUUAUAGAAAUUGGUGGAAUAGGUUGGUGUUCUUGAUUAGCUUGUCUAUAUAUUUAUGUUAUUGAACUUGAGGAAAUUUAGUCACAUGGUUUUUUCAAUCAAAGCAAUACAAAGAUUGCUACAUAUAAACCGAGUGGAGCAAUCUAUAUGGCAAUAUUUAGAUAUUGACGAUUGAGUUUUGCUCACAAAACUGAGUGUUGUGUUUUUUCGUAAUUAAAAUCUCAUUUGAUGUUUGUUUGGGAAUGGUACCACAAUUUACAGCGAGCUUUUUGGUGCUGAGUUACAGGACCAAGCCAACAUUUCANNNNNNNNNNNNNNNNNNNNNNNNNNNNNNNNNNNNNNNNNNNNNNNNNNNNNNNNNNNNNAAGUAUUUUGCACAGUGUUGAACAACAUCAACUUGUUAUAUCGUGAGUCUCUUUAUCAACUUCAACUUAGAUUGGGGUUUCCCUAAAUUUUGCCAAAACCCUGACAUCCUCUUUCAUCCCAAAUUAAAUUUCUCUGUUCUUGGCUCAGUUAGAUGUUUGAUGUUAAUUUUUCUGAUUAUUAUUUGCAUGUUUUUCAUAUUCUGUUCAAUUUUAAGCCUAACAAGAUUUGGUCAUAUUUGAAUGGAACUUUGUUGGUUUUUGGUGUGUAUAAGUUUUCGAUAAUUGUUUAUACUUUCUAGAUUUUGAUUUUGGGUUUGCGGGUUUUUGUGAAAUAUAGUGAUUACUAAAUACUAGAUACUAAUUACUAUUUAAUACUUAGUAUGUAGAGGAUAAUGGUUUUAUGAAUGAGCUAGCCAAUUCACGUUGAGUUAAAACUCAUGCUUGGAGUAUGAAUGAACCAAUUUAUCUUGACUAAAACCUCAUGAAAUUGAUAUUGAAAUGCCAAAUUACUUGUUAUUGAAAUUGAUAUUGAAUGUGAAAUUGAAAUUGAUAAUCAAUUGUAUGAAAUGUUAACACAUUUGGUGUAGGUGAAUAAUGUAGUACAACUAAGCGAGAAGAAGGAAUUAACUGAAACAUGCCUUAAAACAAACUACUUUGGUGUAGGUGAACAUUGGAGAACUUGGCAUUUACUUUUAGCAAGAAAGGGGCAUAGUUGCCAAAAUCAAGUUAACAUUCAUUAAUUCUNNNNNNNNNNNNNNNNNNNNNNNNNNNNNNNNNNNNNNNNNNNNNNNCAUUUUCUUGGAAUAUGUAGACAAAUUCGAUCCUUACCAAGCAAUUGAAAAUUGUGGUGCAGGAAGCAAUUUACUCUUAACACAAAGUGAUUUUGAUUAGAAACUUAAUUUGUCUGAUUGUGAGUUAUUUGUAAUUCAAUUUUCCACUACUAAUUUCAUAUUGUCUACAUUUUUUAAGUUAUUUCUAACCUGUGUAUCUGACCUUAAAUUAUGUAAGCCUAUCUAAUUGUUUGAUUUUAGCUCUUCUUUUAUUUAAUUUAAUUAUUCAAUUAGCUAUGUAGACACCAUUGUGUUUGGUUUUACAGCCCUCUACCAUCUAGAGGAAGUCUAGGUAUCGUUGUUUGUAUUUAAGAGUUGUUGUAUUCUUGUUGUUGAGUUGCAUGGUUAUUUAUACUGAGACAAAACUUCUGAAGUGUAUUGGAUAUCUUG
rnacentral:lncRNA from 1 species